rnacentral:rRNA from 1 species
UACGGGGGGGGCAAGCGUUGUUCGGAAUUACUGGGCGUAAAGGGCUCGUAGGCGGCCAACUAAGUCGGAUGUGAAAUCCCCAGGCUCAACCUGGGAACUGCAUCCGAUACUGGAUGGCUUGAAUUCGGGAGAGGGAUGCAGAAUUCCAGGUGUAGCGGUGAAAUGCGUAGAUAUCAGGAGGAACACCGAUGGCGAAGGCAGGUCUCUGGGCAUUAACUGACGCUGAGGAGCGAAAGCAUGGGGAGCGAACAGG